AUGUCCGCGCCGGCGGCGGAUCCUUCCCGUGAUGGGUGCUUCUUUUCGAGCACGGGGCAGAGCACCUUCUUCUUCACGGAGACCAUGGGCAAUGAGCGGACGCCGCGUCUCAUGGAUCCUAUGGCGCCAGAGUACUUCGACGAGAUAGCCAAGUUCUACCUCGAGGCUGCCCGCCGCCUUCCCAUCGACGACAUCCCGGACCUCGCCCGCUGCAUCUCCCGGAGCGGCCUCGCCGUCGGCCUCUGCGACCCCGUCACCAACAUCCUCCUAACCACCAUCAGCACAUUCGCAAAGGAGGAGGACCAUUACGCCCGUCCCGUCAAGCCCAGCACCGCUGCAGUAGAGCGAACCAGGGAUAAGUUCACCUUCGCCGACGGGGCGCGCAAGUCCCGCAUGGGCCUCGUCGAGUUCAUGUUGUGCUACUUCCGCUACCUCAUGGAGCCUCAGGCCAAAGAAUGCCUCGCCAUGGCGGGCCAUGACCUGCCCCUCGCCCUCAUGCUCGUACAGCAGGGCUGCUUCAGAGGGCACCGGUGUCCGCUGCUCCCGGACGCCGCCAGGACCAAAGCCGCCUUGAAGCAGGCCGCGUACCAUGUGAGGGGCUGUUCCGCGCCCGAUGAGCUCGUGCGGCUCAUGACGUCGAGGUACCCCCAUGAGCUGCUGGAUCCCGUCCUGGACGCUUUGCGUGGAGGAGAACGACUCAGCGCCGACUGCGUCCACAAGAUCUGUGACCUGCUGCUGCACCCAUGGUCACCGCCGCCGACUCCUGCCCUUACUCCGAGCACUUUCCGGGAUGGCAGUGGGAAUGCCACCACAAUCAUCAGCAUCAGAAAAGAGCUUUUCCCCACGAUCACCAUAUCAGAAGACCGUGCCUCCACGACCAUAAUCGCCUCAACUCGUCUGAGCCAUGACAGAGACAACCUCACGGGAGUGGAGAGCAUAGUUUCCGUCUGGCGGGACAACCCGGACUUCAUCCCGUUUUUGUGGACUUCUCUUCUCGACACCAUGCACGGCUUGUACAUGGAGGCGCUUUCCCGGCUGCCAACCCGUGCCUUACGCGAGGGCCACAUCAUCCGCGCCGUCCUGGCAGCCGGACACUGUUACGGCCCCAUGAACGACCCCGUGUCCAACAUCAUGUUCAACUCCAUUUGGUACGACGCCGUCUUCCGACUCUUCCCUCUGCUCAAAGAUGUCUCCGUCGAGGUCGGAGCAGCUGACAUUCUUGAUCCUCGAUUCUUGUCGUGUGUCGAAUCAUGUUCCCUCAAGGGCAUUGUUGCCCAGCUCUGCAGCUCACCCGGAAUUCCGAGUGAGCAGCACGCCGUGUUGCUGCUCUGCAGAGAUCACGACAAGCCACAGUUGUGGGGCACACAAUGCGGAACCUCCCCCGGCGACAUAGCUGCCGCAGCACUGGCCGCCAAACACCCACAGCCUGCCGCCUACGAGGCGUUUCUCAGCGGGCUGUCCUCCGAUGAACUCGACUCCAUGCGUUCUUUGAUGCCCCGAUCGGGCUCGGUCCUCUCCGAUGAUGCCCUGGUGCAACUGAAGACGAUGAUAAGGCAGCUGGUAGCAGCAGGAAAAGACAUUGCUGCGGCACAGGUGCGAAGAAUGGCCCCUGUCCUAUGUCAAUCGGCCUUGGAGACGCUGGCUGCAAAGAGGUCAGCCUUCACUUCUCUGCAGGGUUACGUUCGCACAAAGCUAGAGCAAUUGCUGCGUGACUAUGGCCACAGUGAGGGACAAAGAUAUCAACUUGGUGUUAUCUGUGGAGUGACCACGAAUAGAUACUACACCUACACCAACUGCUUUCAUGUCAACUUCCUGGCGAGCACGGAAUCGGAUGAUGGCGUCCCCGGUGAUGCUACCUGCAGAUCAUCUCUCCCGUACGAGCUAUUCUUCGCCGAAUUCUGGAACCAAUCUGAUCAAAGAAUCGAAGAAUCAGCGAAGCCGCCCAUGUGCUGCCCUGUACCAGAAUACCCUGCAUAUCUCGUUCUUUGUUUAAGCAAUGAGGGCCGUGAGGUGCUUCGACAUGGCCAAGCCGAUUUCAGCAAGGAUGCGGACUAUUUUGAUUCGGUGCGGCUUUUAGAGAGCAAAUGA
rnacentral:rRNA from 1 species